rnacentral:rRNA from 1 species
UGUCUUUAUGGCAAAUGUGAGAUGCAGUGUAUGGAAUGUCAAAUUUCUAGUAUGAGAAAUUAACGAUUUAAGUCCUUCUUAAAUGAGGCCAUUUACCCAAAGAGGGUGCCAGGCCCGUAUAACGUUAAUGAUUACUAGAUGACAUUUCCAAAGAGUCGUGUUGCUUGAUAGUGCAGCACUAAGUGGGUGGUAAACUCCAUCUAAAACUAAAUAUAACCAUGAGACCGAUAGUAAACAAGUACCGUGAGGGAAAGUUGAAAAGAACUCUGAAUAGAGAGUUAAAUAGUACGUGAAACUGCUUAGAGGUUAAGCCCGAUGAACCUGAAUAUCCUUUAUGGAAAAUUCAUCAUUAUGAUUUUAAUAUUAAUAAUAUUAUAAUAAUGGUGUGCAUUUUUUCCAUAUAUGGACAUUGUAAUCUAUUAACCACAUUAUUUAUCAUAAGAUCAUUGCUUUAGUUUAUUCAAAUUAUUUUGCUUGCAAUUUAACAUAGAAUAAAUGCUUUUGAUUUGAUAAAGUGUUGAUAGAUUUAUUAUAUAUAGUGCUUGAAUAUUUUAUUAUAUUCUAUAAUGGCAUAUUGAUCAUUGAUCUUUGUGUUUUAUUAUAUGCACUUAUAUGAUUAACAAUGCGAAAGAUUCAGGAUACCUUCGGGACCCGUCUUGAAACACGGACCAAGGAGUCUAACAUAUUUGCAAGUUAUUGGGAAUUAAAAACCUAAUAGCGAAAUUAACAUAACUUAUAUAAUGGGAUUAGUUUUUAGUACUAUUUAUAGUCUAUUAAUUCAAUCCCGGGGCGUUCUAUACAGUUAUGUAUAAUAAUAUUUAUAUUAUAUAUACCUCUAACUAGAGCGUACCUUGAGCAUAUAUGCUGUGACCCGAAAGAUGGUGAACUAUACUUGAUCAGGUUGAAGUCAGGGGAAACCCUGAUGGAAGACCGAAACAGUUCUGACGUGCAAA